UAAUGUAUGGGGAUCUGCCCGAUAGAGGGGGGUAACUACUGGAAACGGUGGCUAAUACCGCAUAAUGUCUCGGACCAAAGCAGGGGCUCUUCGGACCUUGCACUAUCGGAUGAACCCAUAUGGGAUUAGCUAGUAGGUGGGGGAAGGGCUCACCUAGGCGACGAUCUCUAGCUGGUCUGAGAGGAUGAUCAGCCACACUGGGACUGAGACACGGCCCAG
rnacentral:rRNA from 1 species